GAGGCCCUGCGGGAGCCGACUGGGAAGGUCUGGAACUCUGACACCCCGCCCCGCGAGCUGUGCUCUCAGUCUCAUGUCAUCCCACCACAAGGACAGAUAUUAAGUACCAUAUAUGGGAAAAAUGCUAUUUUACAUAAUUAUGAUCCCUGUGGGGGCGGGCAUGGACUCAGCCCUGGAUUCCAUUGUGAGCGUCUUGAGUUCGAUUCCUGACCCUGCCUCUUUAGGAUCCGCACGUUGCUGCCUUUCAGCCUCCAAACCUUCGCUCUGGCCGUUCUCUCCACCUGGAAUACCCUUCCGAGCCUCUCUUCACCUCCAUGUCAUUAACUCGCAUACAUCCUUUCAGAUAUUUCCUGAGGGCUUGUGAUUUGCCAGAUCCUGUACCAGGUGCUGGAACUUGGUGAUAGACAAUCCACAGUCUCUGCUCUGAAGACAUCCAUGCAGGUUACAUACACGGGCGGUGCAGCGGAGAGCGCGGCGGCGAAGUUUCAGGCCCCUGCCCAGCCCCACUCGCCGCAGCCAGGUAGCCCCUCCACCCUUCCUGCCCGGAAGUCCUGCGCGCUCCACCCAAGGACAGGUGGGUUAGCCAGGGCACGCCCACUUCCGUCUCAUUAGCCUAUCGAAUACGUUAUGCAAAUUGACACACGACCCCGCGCCUCACGACAACCAAUGGUUGCGGAGGCGCCGCAGGUCGCCCAGGUUCCCGUUCUCAGGAUGCUCUGGGAGCUCUGCCACGUUUCUGCUGUGGCAGGAAGAACUGAAAUUCCAGAAGCCGGAGAAACAAGCCGCCGUCAAGACUGCUGAAGCGAGGCCUACGGCCCUGUAAUCACACAAGCUCAGGCUUCACGGAAGCUGGAGGCCAUGUCGCCUGAUCCCCGGGCUGACCCCUUCCCUCCCUCCGCGUAGUUCCUGCCAAGCUCCAGGUGCCCGGUGCCCACGUAGUCUCGGUGAACGCAGAGAAAUCACUGCAGAUGUAGCCACGCUUCUCUGAGUUAAGGACUCGGCGUCCGCAGGAGAGCCAAGGCCUCGCUGCUGGGGGUCAGAGCCUCUCAGAGAACAAGAGGCAAGUCCAAGUUCUGCCUCCACCACUUGUUAGCUAUGCGACUUUGGGCAAUCCGCGUCACCUUUCCAAGCCUCAUUUUCCUCAUCUGGAAAAUAGGAAUAAUAACACUGCCCUCCCAGCUACGAUAUGAGGACCAAUGGCUAGUCAAAUGGAAAACACGAGGGUCUUUGCAAGCCAUUGUGCUUGGUGGUUAAGAGUAUCACUUCGGUUAGACAGAUUUGAAUUCAAAUCCUGCUUUUCCCAGUUACUUGUGUUCCAACCUUAAGCAAAUCACUUACUUUAUCUUCUGAUUCUCACUUUCUUCAACUGUAAAGAAUUCCAUGGGCUGUUGUUAGGAUUAAAUGAGUUAAGGUUUAUUGAUUGAGACAGGAUCUCUGUCACCCAAGCUGGAGUGCAGUGGCACAAACACAGCUGACUGCAGCCUCAACCUCCCAAGCUCAAGCGAUCCUCCUGCCUCAGCCUCCCAAGUAGCUGGAACUACAGGCAUGCACCACCACACCUGGCUAAUUUUUUUCUUAUUUUUGUAGAAAUUGAGUCUUACUAGCUGGGCGCAGUGGCUCACACCUGUAAUCCCAGCACUUUGGGAGGCCGAGGCGGGCAGAUCACGAGGUCAGGAGAUUGAGACUAUCCCGACUAACACAGUGAAACCCCGUCUCUACUAAAAAUAUAAAAAAAAGAAAAAAAAAUUAGCCGGGUGUGGUGGUGGGCAACUGUAGUCCCAGCUACUGGGGAGGUUGAGGCAGGAGAAAGGCGUGAACCCGGGAGGCGGAGCUUGCAGUGAGCCAAGAUCGCACCACUACACUCCAGCCUGGGAGACAGAGCGAGACUCCGUCUCAAAAAAAAAAACAAAACAAAAAACAAAGAGAAAUUGGGUUCUUACUGUGUUGCCCAUGCUGGUCUUGAACUCCUGGGUUGAAGCAAUCCUCCCACCUGAGCCCCACAAAGUACUGGGAUUACAAGUGUGAGCCACUGUGCCCAGCCUGAGUUAAGGUUUUCAAAGCACUUGGCACAAAGCCAGGCCACGUGUGGUAGCAGAACCAUGGCACCUCCUGGAAGCUGGUUUCAUCUCAUCAGCUGUCUUCUGGAUACGAUAUUGUUUGCCCUGCCUGCCACAUAGGAUUGUCAUGAGUUGUAAAUGACUUAUGACACGUUUAUAAACAGAAAAACAUUACACCAAUGUUAGUUAGUGGUAUGGUGAGGCAGCCAGCACACUGGAAAAAGCAUGACCUUGGCCCUGGCUGGGCCUUUUAUUUACUGUGUGACCUUGGACGGAUGAUUUCACCUGCUGAAUUGGUAUUAUGAGAAUAUAUUCUUUUUUACCUAGCCUGGGCAACAAAGCAAGACCUUGUCUCUACCAAAAAAUUUUUUAAAAAUUAGCUGGGCAUGGUGGCAUGCACCUGUAGUCCCAGCUACUUGGGAGGCUGAGGUGGGAGGAUCGCUUGAGCCUGGGAGUUGGAGGCUGCAGUGAGCUAUAAUCACACCCCUGCACACCAGUCUGAGUGAGAGUGAGACCUUGUCUCAAAAUACAUAUAUAUAUACACACACGCACACACACAUCACAUAUAUACAUACAUAUAUAUAUUCUUUUUAGAGAUAUAGAAUUUAAAUUGAAAUGUAAUACAUUAUUUAAAACAUAAUAAGUAAUAAAAAGGCUGGGCACAGUGGCUCACACCUGUAAUCCCAGCACUUUGGGAGGCCGAGGUGGGCGGAUCACAAGGUCAGAAGAUCGAGACCAUCUUGGCCAACAGGGUGAAACCCCGUCUCUACUAAAAAUACAAAAAUUAGUCGGGCAUGGUGGUGUGUACCUGUAGUCCCAACUACUCGGGAGGCUGAGGCAGGGGAAUCGCUUGAACCCGGGAAGUGGAGGUUGCAGUGAGUUGAGAUCGUGCCACCACACUCCAGCCUGGCGACAGAGGAAGACUCCAUCUCAAAAAAAAAAGUAAUAAAAAUAUAUAAUCUGAAAUUAUUUUUCAGCCGGGCAUGGUGGCUUAUGCCUGUAAUCCCAGCACUUUGGGAGGCCGAGGCGAGCGGAUCACGAGGUCAGGAGUUCGAGACCAGCCUAACCAACAUGGUGAAACCCCGUCUCUACUAAAAAUACAAAAAUUAGCUGGGCGUGGUGGUGUGCGCCUGUAAUCUCAGCUACUUGGAAGGCCGAGGCGGGAGCAUUGCUUGAACCCGGGAGGCGGAGGUUGUGGUGAGCUGAGAUCGUGCCAUUGCACUCCAGCCUGGGCAAUAAGAGCGAAACUCUGUCUCAAAAGAAAAAAAAAAAAAAGAAAUUAUUUUUCAACUUCAUAGGUCAAGGCCUCCUCCCCUGGGGUAAGGAGAAGCCCAAAUGCAAAGUUUACCCUGUUGUCUACAUGCUAGAAUUUACCAUGGAAAACCAGAGUCAUGGUUUUUCCUAAGAUCAAUGGGGAAAAUGUCCAAACCCUAACAAGGGUCACCUCUGAAUGGAGUGGCCACUCAUUGCUGUCAGCAUUCUCAAAGCCGCUCUGAAGUCAUGGUCUAUGGAGGGAAAUGACCUCGGUUUGGAAGCCCUCGGGCUGGAGUUCCCUCAGCAUCAGAGGUAUCCAGGGACGCUGGGUGAGUCACUCCUCCCCAGUGGACUUGCCCUUCAACCUUGAUGAGGACGAACACCUCAUUAAGGAGCAAUAGCUCUCCCCUCACCUUAAUGCCUUACAUGGGGUUGGCGUAGCCCCGGGCCAUCCUGCCAAUCCACUGUGAGACUUCUCCAGCUGUCCUAGGAUGCCUCUGGCCUUGGACAGCCUUCCUGUUCUUCCUCCUCUGGGGCCCACAGUCUGAUCCUGACCCCCACCAUUCUUCAUUGCAGACUCUCAUCCAGCUGGAGAAAGGAGGGGUGGGAGAAUGCCAAGGCCCAAGCCCACUUUCUCUGCUGUGCCCACCAUCACGUCUUCGCUGCGUGUGGCAAGUGCCCCUGCAGUACAGGGCUGCUGUACAAAUCAUUCAUCAAGGCAGGCGAGAGAGAGACUGACAUCUGGGGUAUAGGCUUUUAACUACCUCAUCCUGGAAGUGACAUAUGUCACUUUCACUGCCAUAUCAUUAGCCAGACCUAGCCACAGGCCCACCCAUGAAAGGAUCUACAGGGGCCAGGCACAGUGCCUCAUGCCUGUAAUGCCAGCACUCUUGGAGGCAGAGGCUGGUGGAUCACCUGAGGUCAGGAGUUCAAAACCAGCCUGGCCAACAUGGCAAAAAACCAUCUCUACUAAAUAUACAAAAAUCAGCCGGGGUGGUUGCAGGCGCCUGUAGUCCCAGCUACUUGGGAGGCUGAGGCAGGAGAAUCGCUUGAACCCGGGAGGCAGAGGUUGCAGUGAGCCGAGAUCUCGCCAUUCCACUCCAGCCUGGUGACAGAGUGAGACUCUGUCUCAAAAAAAAAAAAAAAAAAAAAGCUGAGCGCAGUGGCUCACGCCUGUAAUCCCAGCACUUGGGGAGGCCGAGGCAGGCGGAUCACGAGGUCAGGAGAUCGAGACUAUCCUGGCUAACACAGUGAAACCCCAUCUCUACUAAAAAUACAAAAAAUUAGCCGGGUAUGGUGGCGGGCACCUGUAGUCCCAGCUACUACUUGGGAGGCUGAGGCAGGAGAAUGGCAUGAACCUGGGAGGCGGAGCUUGCAGUGAGCCAAGAUCAUGCCACUGCACUCCAGCCUGGGCGACAGAGCAAGACUCCUCCUCAAAAAAAGAAAAAAAAGAAAGGAUACAGGGCAGGGCUGGGCAUUUCGUGAGCACUGUGGUCUGCUUGUCUCAAUUGAGAUCUUUUUUUUUUUUUCGAGAUGGAGUUUCGCUCUGUCGCCCAGGCUGGAGUGCAGUGACUUGAUCUCAGCUCACUGCAACCUCCACCUCCUUAGUUAAGUGAUCCUCUUGUCUCAGCCUCCUAAGUAGCUGGGAUUACAGGCAAGUACCACCAUGCCCGGUGAAUUUUUUUUAUUUUUAAUAGAGACAGGGUUUUGCCAUGAUAGCCAUGGUUGGUCUCAAACUUGUGACCUCAAGUGAUCCACCUGCCUCGGCCUCCCAAAGUGCUGGGAUUACAGGCCACUGCACCCGGCCAACAGUCGGGAUCUUUCUGCUCAGCCUUUCAGCCAACAUUGAUUGACUCCAGAAUUAGAGGCCAUUAGAGUGGGAAGGACCUUGGGAACCAUCUCAGCCAGUGAACUCCAAAAUUAAAAUCACAUCAGGCUGGGCACUGUGGCUUAUGCCUGUAAUGCCAGCACUUUGGGAGGCCGAGGUGGGCAGAUCACCUGAGGUCAGGAGUUCGAGACCAGCCUGGCCAACAUGGUGAAACCCCGUCUCUACUAAAAAUACAAAAAAUUAGCCAGGCAUGGUGGCAGGCGCCUGUAAUCCCAGCUACUCGGGAGGCUGAGGCAGGAUAAUCGCUUGAGUCCAGGAAGCAGAGGUUGCAGUGAGCCGAGAUCGCACCACUGCACUCCAGCUUGGGCAACGGAGUGAUCAUCUUAAAAAAAAAAAGAAAAGAAGAAAAACACAACAACAAACAAUCAGAAUCCUCUGGGGUUGUUGUCAAAAAUGCAGAGUCCUUGGUCCUACCCCAGACCAGCUGAAUCAAAAUGUCUAGGAUGGGACCAGAGAAUUUACUUUUUUUUUUUUUUUUUCGUAGAGGAGAGGUCUCACUAUGUUGCCGAGGCUGGUCUUGAACUCCUAGGCUUGAGGGAUCCUCCUGCAUGGGCCUCCCAGAGUGCUAGGAUUACAGAUGUGAGCCACCACACCUGGCUGAAUUUACAUUUUUAAAAGCUCACCAGGCGAUUUUAGCAACAGCUUGGUUUGGGACCCAGUGAUAGAGUCAAACUCUCUUUUACAGAUGAGAAAACCAAAGCUCAGAAAGGGUCAGUGACUUCCUCAAGGCCACGAAGAGAGUAAAUGAUAGAGCUUGGAUCACAAUCCCAGCUUCCUGGCCAGGGCUCAUAACACCUGUAGCUGUCACCUGUUGCCUCUGCCCACCCAGUGUCAUACCCGUCUCCUGACAACAGCAUGUCCCCUUUCCCUUUGGGGAGUCACCAGCCUCCCAUACUCAACUCCCAUGAGUCAAGCUGGGCCGAUCCUUUUUCUCAAGUCUGGAGUGGGCACAUGACUUCGGCCUAACCAAUCAGGAUCCCAGGAGUAUGUUCCAGGAUGGUCUUGCGAUCAAGUCCAGAGAUGGAAGUAGCCCCAGGCUAUUUGCUGGAACAAGUUAGAGAAAGAAGCUCUCUUUCUUUCUUUUUUUCUUUUCUUUUUUUUCUUUCUUUUUUUUUUUUUUUUUUUUUUUUUGAGACAGAGUUUCACUCUUGUUGCCCAGGCUGGAGUGCAAUCGUGCGAUCUCUGCUCACUGCAACCUCCGCCUCCUGGGUUCAAGCGAUUCUCUUGCCUCAGCUUCCUGAGUAGCCGGGUUUACAGGCAUGCACCACCACGCCUGGCUAAUUUUGUAUUUUUAGUAGAGACAGGGUUUCUCCAUGUUGGUGAGGCUGGUCUCAAGCUCCUGACCUUAGGUGAUCCAUCCUCCUCGGCCUCCCAAAGUGCUAGGACUAUAGGUGUGAACCACCACACCCGGUCUUUUUUCUUUUCUUUUCUUUUCUUUUCUUUUGUUUUCUUUUCUUUUCUUUUUUUUUUUUUUGAUACAGAGUCUCACACUGUUGCCUGGGCUGGAGUGCAGUGGUGCGAUCUUGGCUCACUGCAACCUGCGCCUCCCAGGUUCAAGCGAUUCUCCUGCCUCAGCCUCCCGAGUAGCUGGGACUACAGGUGCCCGCCACCACGCCUGGCUAGUUUUUGUAUUUUUAGUAGAGAUGUGGUUUCACUAUGUUGGCCAGGCCGGUCUUGAACUCCUGACCUCAUGAUUUGCUCACCUCGGCCUCCCAAAGUGCUGGGAUUACAGAUGUGAGCCACUGUGCCUGGCCAAGAUUUCUUUUUUUUCUUUUGAGAUGGAGCCUUGCUCUAUCACCCAGGCUGGAGUGCAAUGGCACGAUCUCAGCCUCACUGCAACCUCUGCCUCCUGGGUUCGAGCAAUUCUUCCACCUCAGGCUCCCGAGUAGCUGGGAUUACAGGCACCCACCAUCAUGCCCGGCUAAUUUUUGUAUUUUUGUAGAGAUGGGGUUUCACCAUGUUGGCCAGGCUGGUCUUGAACUCCUCACCUGGUCUUGAACAGGUGAUCCACCCGCCUCGGCUUCCCAAAGUACUGGGAUUACAGGAGUGAGCCACCUCGCCUGGCCAGAUGCUCUCUUUCCCCUAAGGUUGCUAAUUGGCCUGAUGUGAACCUGGAUGGAGCAGCUGGUGGUCUUUGCCGUCAUGUUGGGAGAAACUGCCUGAAAAUAAAUCCUGCACAGAGGAGAGCAGGGCUGAGGGACAGAGUCCUGACAGUAUCAUCUGGACUCCUGCACCCAGCUCCACCUGGACUUUUAUUUAUUAUUAUUAUUUAUUGCCAACCAAUAAAUUCCCUUUCAGUUCCCCCAUGUUGGGGUUCUGCCCUUGCAACAUCAAACAGCUGGGGACAGAGUGCCAGGAUUCAGAGCAGCACUGGUCAGACACCAAGUGUCCAUUGAGGGGCUGCGGGGAAAAGUUGAGUGCAAAAUGCUGAUUCUGCCUUUCACAAGCCAGGGACACAGGCAGCAAGGGGUGCCUAGGACACUGUUCUAGAGCAGCAUCGUAGACAUCCAGGCUCUCAUUUGAUCUCGUCCCCAAAAAAUAAGCAGAGGAAGCAUAAUCAUCUCGGAAUGAUGAGGAAUCCAUGGCUCAGAGAGAUGAGGUCACUUGCCCAAGGCCACACAGGAAGUGGCAGAGCUGAGGUUUAGCCCAGGUGUUUUCAAGUCUCAGCCAGGGCGCUUGGUGUUCCUUUGGCCACUCCCCAUGGGGCUGAGUUCUGCCUGGAAUCACAGCCAAUAUCUGCUGAGUGCCUGCCAUGUGCCGGGAACCACGUAAGCACUUUACAUGUUUUUUUCUUUGUUUGAGACAGAGUCUCACUCUGUUGCCCAGGCCGGAGUACAAUGGCACGAUCUCGGCUCACUGCUACCUCUGCCUCCUGGAUUCAAGCAGUUCUGCUGUCUCAGCCUCCCCAGUAACUGGAAUUACAGGCACCCACCACCACGCCCGACUCAUUUUUGUAUUUUUAGUAGCGGCAGGGUUUCACCAUGUUGGCCAGGCUGGUCUCAAACUCCUGACCUCAGGUGAUCUGCCCGCUUCAGCCUCCCAAAUUGCUGGGAUUUCAGGCAUGACCACCGCACCUGGCCACUUUACCUGUUUUAUUUUCUAAUUUUAAUUAAUUAAUUUUUUUUUUGAGACAGUGUCUCACUCUGUCACUCAGGCUGGAGUACAGUGUCAUGAUCAAGACUCACUGCAGCCUUGGCCUCCCAGGCUCAGGUGAUCCUCCCACCUCAGCCUCCCGAGUAGCUGGGACCAUGGGUGUGCACCACCAUGCCCACUAAUUUUUGUAUUUCUUGUAGAGAUGGGGUUUUGCCAUGUUGCCCAGGCUGGUACUUUUAUUUUAUUUUAUUUAUUUAUUUAUUUUUGAGAAGGAGUCUCUCUCUGUCACCAGGCUGGAGUGCAGUGGCGCGAUCUCGGCUCACUGCAACCUCUGCCUCCCGGGUUCAAGCGAUUCUCCUGCCUCAGCCUCCCG
rnacentral:lncRNA from 1 species